GUCGGGACUCGGGUUAGUUAGUACGUUAUCAGUCUUGUGGUAGCAGGAACGUAAGAUAUCCAAAUAGUCCUGUGAAUGGUUCUGUAUAUAGCUGGACCUAGACUAACUGAAUUUUGUCAUCUGAUGUGGGGUUUAUUCCACCGACCUCCAACAUGAACGCUAAACUCGGUAAUAUGAAGGGAACAGCGAACGGUCUUGCCCAUGGUGAAAGAGGCAAGGUAAUUUCGGUUCGUCAAGAGGGUUCCAGGGGAAACCAGAAUCAGCCAUAUAAUGUUCCUUGGUAUUGUACUGCGUUGUUUUUGACUUAAGGCAAACAUCGUUACUACUCUAAUGGUGUUCAGUGAAGGAAUGGAUAUGAAAAUUAUUCUUGGCUUUUAAUUAAAAUUUUGUACAAUGUAAAAGAAUUUAAAUUGCCUUCAAUGUUUCAUGGU